ensembl:lncRNA
GGGGGGGGGUGAAGAUAUUUGUGCAUGUCACUCAAACGGAGGUGAAAAAAAUGACAAUAACUUUAAAAUCAUCUCUUCUGGAACAGCCUGCGUUACCAUCUCCAAGAGUCCAAUCAUUUCCAUCUAUGGUCAUGCCCCUUCUAGGUAGGACAACAAUACAGCGGACACUUUCAAAUGAACGUCACUUUCAAAUUACAAGCAGCAUCGUCAGAUAGACUGUAGCAUAGAACUAGAUCUAAGUGUGGACUUCUACAUGGUACCUUUUUAUUACCAGAUGAUGUGGCAUUCAAUAGUGAUCAUGCAUAUCCAAAUACCCCUGAAGUUAAAGGGGACCAUUCACAAGGUAGGAUAUAUAUUCACUCACUUGUGUUCAUUUCUGAGCAACAACAAAUGGAAACACAAAUGAAUGGGAGGAUGCUGCACUGUUAAAGAAACUAAAACAUCAGGAUUCAAACCUCUCCCAGCCAGAGCAGCUAGGUCUGAUCAGAGAGCACUGUCACAGUGGCAUUAGACCAGCUAGGUCUGAUCAGAGAGCACCUUCACAGUGGCAUUAGCAGAGCAUGGCAACUAAAUGCUUUCUUUACGCGUAUGAAACUGUUAAAGACAAAAUCUGAAACAAACUUUCUCUCCAUUUUGCCAUUAUUUAUAAAAUAAAACGGCAAAGUGCAUUAUUUGAAUUAAGCAGAAAUGCUUGAAAAAUUGUGGAGGAAUGCUACCUAUGAAGCAGGAUAUACUAUUAAUAUUUGUCAAAGGAUUUUUCUUUGAACUGGAAUCCCCUCUGGUGAUAAUUGGUUCAAUUGUGCAGAUGACCUAUAAUAGUUUAUAAAUGAAAUCUGUAUGGCAUAUUCCCACAAUGCUGCACUUAGUGCAUGUCAAGCAUUAAAUGACAGUUAUAUAACUCAGUAGAUUACACCCUUUUCAUGUGACAAUUCAUGGUCUACAGGACAAAACUGCAGAACCAUAUUUCUAGCAUUUAAAACGAACUAUUUUACCAGAAAAUAAAUAGAAUAGAAAAGGUGAUUAAUAGAAAUCACCUCAAGGCCUGAUAUAUACGGGCGGAAAAUAAUAUGUGUCUGUUAUGGCGG